GCCUAACACAUGCAAGUCGAACGGGACUUAGUGGAAAGCGGCUUCGGCCAAUGGAAGCUAAGUUUAGUGGCGAACGGGUGAGUAACGCGUGAGGAACCUGCCUUCCAGUGGGGGACAACAGUUGGAAACGACUGCUAAUACCGCAUAACAUAAUCGAACCGCAUGAUUUGAUUAUCAAAGCUUUAUGUGCUGGAAGAUGGCCUCGCGUCUGAUUAGCUAGUUGGUGGGGUAACGGCCUACCAAGGCGACGAUCAGUAGCCGGUCUGAGAGGAUGAACGGCCACAUUGGGACUGAGAUACGGCCCAGACUCCUACGGGAGGCAGCAGUGGGGAAUAUUGGGCAAUGGGGGAAACCCUGACCCAGCAACGCCGCGUGAAGGAAGAAGGCCUUCGGGUUGUAAACUUCUUUUACCAGGGACGAAGAACGUGACGGUACCUGGAGAAAAAGCAACGGCUAACUACGUGCCAGCCGCCGCGGUAACAC
rnacentral:rRNA from 1 species